GAAAACAAUCCCCCGAUUCCCUCCGCCUCGGGGCCCUAUCCCAAUUCCCAACGGACGAGACGCGUCGCGCCGCGAACACAGCAGCGCCCCGCCGGCGGCGAGAUGGAGGCCGCCGCGUCGCUGCCGCUCCCCGCCUCCCGCUUCCUCUCCCCUCCUCCUCAUCCAACGCCAGCGGCGGCGGCGGCGGCGGCGUGCUGCUCCCGACGGAACAUCUCCUGCGCCCGCGCCGCCCCCCGGGCGCUGGAAGCCCCGCAGGCCUCGAGGCCGCCACCGCGGCCGUCGCCUCGGCGCAGCGCCGUCGCGGAGGUCAAGGCCGCCCCCGACCCCGUCGCCGCACUCACCAGGUUCGAGGAUGUGCUGCAGACACAGGACUGCAACAUAAUCCUGCGCCACUACGGUGAAACCAGGCGCUGGGAUGAGCUAUCUAAGGUCUUCGGGUGGAUGCAGGAGCACGACAUGCUCAACAUUGCGUCUUACAGCAGUUACUUCAAGUACCUUGGGUUGAGCCGCAACCCUGCCCGAGCGCUGCAAGUGUACGGUGCUAUCCGAGAAAACCCGACAAGGAUCCAUGUCUCCGUUUGUAACUCGGUCCUCGGGUGCUUGGUGAAGAACGGGAGGUUCGAUAGCAGCUUCAAGCUUUAUGAUGAGAUGAUACGAGAAGGUCUAUCACCCGAUCUGUUCACCUACAGUACCCUUCUGUCAGGGUGCAUGAAGUUGAAGCAGGGUUACACUAAGGCCAUGGAAUUAGUUAAUGAGCUGAAUUCCCGUGGUUUUCAGAUGGAUAGUGUAAUAUAUGGCACUCUCCUGGCUAUAUGCGCGUCACAUAACUGCUGCGAGAAGGCUGAGGAAUAUUUUCAGAAAAUGAAGGACGAAGGACACAAGCCUAAUCUAUUCCAUUAUAGCUCUCUGUUGAAUGCAUAUUCAGAAAAUGCUAAUUAUGAAAAGGCUGAUCUGUUGAUGAAAGAUUUGAGGUCCUCAGGGUUAACACCGAACAAGGUUAUACUCACCACUUUGUUAAAGGUGUAUUCUAAAGGUGGUCUCUUUGAGAAGGCAAGGGAACUGCUAACUGAACUGGAAGCUUCAGGCUUCGCACAGGAUGAGAUGCCUUACUGCAUAUUGAUUGAUGGCCUUGUCAAAGAACGGAAGAUAUGGGAAGCCAUGAUUCUAUUUAAUGAUAUGAAAGAAAAAGGUGUCAAAUCUGAUGGCUAUGCAUUCAGUAUCAUGAUAUCAGCAUUACAUCGAGGUGGCUAUCGUGAAGAGUCAAAACAACUUGCAAAAGAAUUUGAGGCCAAGAAUGCAACAUAUGAUCUGGUUAUGCUUAAUACAUCACUUCGUGCUUACUGCAGCACCAAUGAUAUGGAAAGUGUAAUGAUCAUGCUUAGGAAAAUGGAUGAAUCGAACAUAUCGCCUGAUGCUAUCACAUUUAAUACCUUAAUAAGGUACUUCUGCAUGGCAAAGGUCUAUCACCUAGCAUACAAGACAAUUCAAGAUAUGCAUACAAAGGGCCAUCAAUUGAAUGAGGAGCUUUGUUCUGAGAUAAUGAUGCAGCUAGGAGAAGCGGGUUUUCCUUCUGAAGCAUUUUCUGUGUAUAAUAUGUUGAGAUAUGGAAAGAGAACAGUGUGUAAAUCUCUUCAUGAGAAGGUUUUAUGUAUCUUAGUUCCAGCUGGACUUCUCAAGGAUGCAUACGUAGUUGUUAAGGACAAUUCCGAGUUCAUAUCUCGACGCUCGCUGGGGAAUUUUGCUAGAUCUUUCAUGGCAUCAGGCAACAUAAAUUUGAUUAACGAUGUUAUGAAAGCAGUACACCGUUCAGGAUGGCGUAUUAGCCAGGAUAUCUUUGGGAAAGCAAUUCAGCGAUACAUUCAGAAACCUGAUAAGAAGCAGCUACUGCUUUGCCUCUUGGACUGGAUGACUGGUCAAGGCUAUUCUGUGGACUCAUCAUCAAGGAACUUGCUUUUGAGAAAUGCCCAACUCUUUGGCCAAAAGCAACUUAUAGCUGAAAUCCUUUCCAAGCAGCAGGGAGCAUCAAGGAUCACAAGUCAAAGGCACCAAAAAUAGUUGAUAAGGGAUCGGUUAGAUCAUCAGGUAACAAGUUAUUCACCCUCAUCCUCAUGUGUCCCAGGAUCCAAUCAAGAUUCAUCAGAAUUACAGAUCUGGUAUUUCGUAUGCAUGUGGUGUAAAGCACCCAUGUUAUGUUGUAAUGCCUGAGCUUGAGCUUGUCCAUUUUAGUCAGGCUAUUCAGGGUGAGAUUCCACAAGAGCUGCAGAUGGGACUAGUAAGUGGUAGGCAAGUCUUGCUCAAGACUGCAAACAGGCAUACAAAUGAAAUACUGGACCAGAGUAUCUGCUAAUUCACACGUCCCUUUCAAUGUGAGAUAUUCUUUUCAUGCUGCUAAGCUGAACGACAGAGGCUACUCUAUGAUUGUCCUCACACUAACUGCCAGUUACAAGAUCUUUUGAUUAAAAUUAUCCUAUCAAUUUGAGUCCACAUAUAUUUCGAUACAUGUACAUUAGAUUCCUGCAUAUAUGUAUUAGUAGUAUUUUAGCUUGUUAGUACAAUCUUGUUGUCUACGGAGUACCUAGGUAACCUAUAAAAUUUUGUGCUGUGUAUUUGUCCUCUAUCUGAUUCUCUGUGCUAUGAUCAUCUGGUAAUCAGUGGCUGUUCCAAGUUGUUCUACUCAGCUUCCUUCCAGUUCUUUGCACCCAGCCAUCAACAGAUAAGUUCGUUUCAUCAGGACGAAUUCUCUGUGUAGAAAAUUAUCGGCAUAUUUAUUUGAGUGGGCCAUCAUUUCUGUGUCAGCAGGCAAGAAUAGCUUCCAAUAAUCAUGUUGGGUUUCUAAUGCUGCAGGCAUUAUCUUGUCCUCUAGUAGUAGUUUUUUUUCCCCCUAAACAAUCUAUUUCAUGCUGUUUGGACUUUGUACGGAUGGGGGAAAAUAAACUUAAGUUGCACUAUGCCCCUA